UUGCGGAAGCUCCGGCGAGGGCAGCGGAGGCCGGUGGUUGCGAGCGGUGAAGCAACAGAGGCGCGGGCGUCGGGCCAUGGCGACGGGGAGACGAGGCGGCAGCGCUACGAAGCCAGCGGGCAUGGGCGGAUGCGGAUUUUUAGAGCAGCUGCACCGGGGCCGCGUUAUCGUAGCGGUCGGCUCGUUGCGUUGUACCUCGAGAUGCCCGUCAAGGAACCUGCAUACCGACGCACAUCCGUGACUACGGCUCAGGACUCUCUCUCUCUACACAUCACAUGCUCGUUCUUUGACUCUUCGUUCAAUGGAUCGGGUGCAAGGCGGAGAUUCGAUGGCGCCGGCUCUCGGCCGCCUGGAAACCGCACCGGCGGCCGGCGAUAGAUCCAAUGUCACUGCCGGCAAUCCAAUCUUCUCAGGCGGGCACAUCGACGGAGGGGUGUCGUCGGAGGUGGAUUCAAGAGGGGGGCACUCAAGCAUCCCGAUUGCUGCACACAUCUCAGAUGCGACAAUACGCCCCAGAUACGAUUUAUGAGUUUGGUGUUUCGGAUCUAAAUUAGUGGUAUGUCGAUCCUCCUGAUUAAGCUAUUUCCCUGUCCUCCCAAAUAUGUUAUCAUUAGUGCAGUGUGCACGGCGGAUUAGUCUCACAUCCGGUUACGUUGAGGGGCGCGAACAUCUGUGCCUACGGCCCUGCUCGUAAUAGAAACAUACAUGCUCCUGAUUCUGAAA